GUUGAGCUCCAUGGGAAACUCCGAGCUGUUUUCCAAAAAGGAGGUGUGUGACGUUCCCAGAGCUGGGCGGGAGUUCUGCUCUGUGUCUGCGAGUGCUCGGGGCUUUGGGUCAGGACAGGUCUAUGUUUUCAGUGCUGAGGAUUGAGCUGGGGCCUGAUGCAUGCUAGGCAGGAGCCACACCCCUGGCCCAGGCAGUAUUAAUUUUAUUUAUUUCUAGUACAGGGAAUCAAACCCCUCCUGCCUCAGCCCCAUGAUGCGUGCACGGCAGCGGCUCCGGGCAGCCUUUCUGCAGUCCCUGCUGGGGUGGUGCCUCACCCUGGGUUGACCUGUGCUGAGCGGUCUGCGUCUCCCGUGGGCUCCGCUACCUAAGGCUGUGCUGCUGCUCUGAUCAAGUCUGCUCAGACCUUGUGCUCCUCUUUGAAUUGGGUUCUUUUCUUACUGAGUUUUAAGAGAUGUUUGUAUAUUCUGGGUGCAAGCUCUUUCUCAGAUAUAUGACUUGUAAGUAUUUUCUUGCAAGUCUGUUGCAUGCUUGUCUUUUUAAUUCUUUGUUUUUUAAAUAUCUUCUUAGUUGUCAAUGGACUUUAUUUAUUUUUAUGUGGUGCUGAGAAUCAAACCCAGUGCCUCACACAUGCUAGGCAAGCGCUCUACCCCUGAGCCCCAGCCCCGCCCUUUAAUUCUUAAUAAUGCCUUUCAAAAGUAGAAGUCUAAUUUUUUUUUGUGGGGGAGGGUAAGCUGCUUAGGGCCUUGCUGAGUUGCUGAGGCUGGCUUUGAAGUUGUGAUCCUCCUGCCUCAGCCUCCUGAGCCACUGAGAUUACAGGCAUGUGUCACCGUGCCCAGCUACAAGUUUAAAUUUCUUAAAGACCAGUUUACCUGGUUUUUGUCUGUGGAUCAUACUCUUGGUGUCUUGUCUGGUAGAUCCUUGCUGAGCACAAGGUCACACAGAUCUGCCAUGUUCUUUCCUAGAAGUAUUAAGAGGUCCCGGCCCAGCUGUCCCAGCACCUCGAGUGGCGACAACUCUUUUCCCUGUGCACCUGGUGGCUGGUGCAGUCCAGCGGUGACAGUGCCUCCCAAGCCCUGAGCUGCCUUCUGGCUGCAAAGCCAGCGUGCGGCUCUUGGCUCUGGCCCUGCCCCGCCGGGCUCUGGCGCCACCCUCACUUUGUUUGCUGUGUGGACUUCAGAAUCGUCCUGUUGGUCUCUGGAACAGACGGUGGGAUUUUGAGUGGGACUGUCUGUAGAACAUUUGGGAGGGAGCCUCCAGCAUGAGGAGGUCAUGUCCCCAUGCUCAUUCGGAUCCUUGCAUGUCUUUCAUCAGUAUCUUAGAGUCGGCGAGACCCAGAGUCUGUGGGUCCUGGACUCCAUGGGUCUGGGCCUGAGCUCACCGUGUUCCUCACUUCAGGGUCUUCUUCCUUUUGACCUUUACUUCCUCCUCUUCCUUCCCUGUUCUCCUU
rnacentral:lncRNA from 1 species